rnacentral:lncRNA from 1 species
GGCGGGCUGCAGGGACGGGUCAGGUGCUCUGCGCUUGAGGCUGCGAGCAGGUAACCUUAUGCUGAGCUAAUCAAGGACCUGGGAAAAUGAUUCCAGAGUUUCUCGUGGUGUCUUGCACAUUGGCUGCUCUGUGCCAUUCAGUUCCCCUCUCUCUGCAGACAGAACAGCAGAAGGUUCUGGUAGUUUCUUUUGAUGGAUUCCGCUGGGAUUACUUAUAUAAAGUUCCAACCCCUCACUUCCAUUAUGUCAUGAAAAACGGUGUCCAUGUGAAGCAAGUCACUAAUGUUUUUAUCACAAAGACCUACCCUAACCAUUACACUUUGGUCACUGGUCUCUUUGCAGAGAAUCAUGGGAUUGUUGCAAAUGACAUGUUCGAUCCUGUUCU